UUGAACGCUGGCGGCAGGCUUAACACAUGCAAGUCGAACGGUAACAGGAAGCAGCUUGCUGCUUCGCUGACGAGUGGCGGACGGGUGAGUAAUGUCUGGGAAGCUGCCUGAUGGAGGGGGAUAACUACUGGAAACGGUAGCUAAUACCGCAUAAUGUCGCAAGACCAAAGAGGGGGACCUUCGGGCCUCUUGCCAUCGGAUGUGCCCAGAUGGGAUUAGCUUGUUGGUGGGGUAACGGCUCACCAAGGCGACGAUCCCUAGCUGGUCUGAGAGGAUGACCAGCCACACUGGAACUGAGACACGGUCCAGACUCCUACGGGAGGCAGCAGUGGGGAAUAUUGCACAAUGGGCGCAAGCCUGAUGCGGCCAUGCCGCGUGUAUGAAGAAGGCCUUCGGGUUGUAAAGUACUUUCAGCGGGGAGGAAGGGAGUAAAGUUAAUACCUUUGCUCAUUGACGUUACCCGCAGAAGAAGCACCGGCUAACUCCGUG
rnacentral:rRNA from 1 species